rnacentral:lncRNA from 1 species
AACUGGAGCAUGACACGAAUGAGCAAUUGAGGAGCAAACGUACUGAAAUUGAGCUUGGAAAUGAGAAAAUACAUGCUUUUAUGAGGAACAUUAAGGAACUACAAUCAUCCAACACUGAUAAGGAUAAUAUAAUUGCUACGUUAAGAACUGAAGUUGCCAAACUGGAAUCUGACCUCGUCAAAAAGAGUGAAGAUCUAUUCAAAUGUUCCAGAGAACUAGAGUUGCUAAAGAAGUCCGGAAGUGCCUUUGUCACUCCUGUGUUGGUUUGAUCCACAUCCACAUCAGGACCUCUGAAGCGCAGAAUGGAUUGGAAGACUGUAACUUGCAAGGAAGCUGCAAUCUUCGCAAGCUCUUGAAAAGGUAAUCUCGUCUUAAUUUUAGAAGAAACU